GAAGGUGUAGCUCAGUGGUAGAGUACCUGCUUAGCAUGCACAAGAUCCUGGGUUCAAUCCCCAGUACCUCCA
rnacentral:tRNA from 1 species